rnacentral:rRNA from 1 species
ACAGCAGUAGCCGCGGGAAUACGUAGGGUGCAAGCGUUAAUCGGAAUUACUGGGCGUAAAGCGUGCGUAGGUAGUGGUUUAAGUCCGUUGUGAAAGCCCUGGGCUCAACCUGGGAAUUGCAGUGGAUACUGGAUCACUAGAGUGUGGUAGAGGAUAGUGGAAUUUCCGGUGUAGCAGUGAAAUGCGUAGAGAUCGGAAGGAACAUCUGUGGCGAAGGCGACUAUCUGGGCCAACACUGACACUGAGAGACGAAAGCUAGGGGAGCAAAUGGGAUUAGAUACCCCUGUAGUCCCUGUCUCUUAUAC